AAGUUGGUUCUGUGCUCACCUUGGCUUCACUUUCUUUUUACCUUCCUUCCUGCAGUUUGCUAUUGGCUCCCUGAUGGAUGAUUACUUAGGGCUUGUAAGCUGAGCCUGGUGGCCUCCUACCCUUGGUCCUGAUCUAGGAAGUGUGAUUGUCACACUUACUGUGUUGUCCAGAGGUCCAGUCUGGCCGCUGUUGUGAAGGCAAGGAAGGCAGCUCAUCCCCGGAAGGUUCUUCUUUUGGCUUAGCUACUGCUUUCUGAUUUUUCAGUAUGUGUUCUAUGUAAAAAAGCCCUUGGUUCUCAUGGAA